rnacentral:lncRNA from 1 species
CAACACAUUAAUUAUUGAAUGCGCGUAGCGCAUGAGUUAAUUAUCAGUGUUGUUCGGUCACGAGUUGAAUAUUUUUCGAUUUUUGAAUUCUUUGAUUAGUUAUUCUUUUUAUUACAUUGGCAAAUGGCUUUUUUAAAAGAAAUUAAUGUAAAACAUGUAAGGAACUAUAUCUCUUUUCUACGCAUUCACAAGUUGUUUUGAUCCGUCGUUAUCGACGUCUUGACAACGCCUAUUGUUGUGUGACGUCAGAGAGUGAAAUAACCACGUUUAUUUCACAGUUAUGUGAAAUUAUCGGUUUUUAUUUAACUGGGAAAUCAAUGUAAUUCAUUGCAAC